rnacentral:RNase_P_RNA from 1 species
AUGGUUAGGAAAGUCCAUGCUAGCACAGUCUGAGAUGACUGUAGUGUUUGUGCUUAGCAAAACAAUAAGCUAAGGCAUAGAGAUAUGACGGCGAAAGAAGCCUAAGUUCUUAUCGAAUAGGGCGUAUUUCAUAACGUGCCACAGAGACGAGUUCUAUAGAAAUGUAGAAAUGAAACGUUGGUAAACCCCUCAAGCUAGAAACCCAAAUUUUGGUAGGGGAGCUUCAUUUGACAAAUUUAAGGAAGUUAAAAUGGAGGCAAUUUUUGCAGAUAAAUAGUUACCACCUGAGGAUUUCAGGGACAGAACAUGGCUUACAG